GAUGAAGAACGUAGCGAAAUGCGAUAAGUAGUGUGAAUUGCAGAAUUACCUGAAUCAUCGAAUCUUUGAACGCACAUUGCGCCCCCUGGUAUUCCUGGGGGCAUGCCUGUUCGAGCGUCAUUAACAACCAAUCGGGCGGGGCUUUUGCAUGCUCCCGCUCGGCCAUGGGGGAUGGACGUCGUCGGACGCCCACCCCCGAAAUGCAACGGCGGACGGCCACCCGUGGCACUGCGGCGUAGUAAGUUAACCCUUCGCGCGCGCCCACGGAGUGGACUGCCCGGCCGCUUGAACCCCCACACAUCCUACGGUUGACCUCGGAUCAGGUAGGGAUACCCGCUGAACUUAAGCAUAUCAAUAAGCGGAGGA
rnacentral:misc_RNA from 1 species